rnacentral:rRNA from 1 species
AUGGACAUUGUCAUAAUGGUCACCUUAUCGCAGUGUAUUAUUUUUGGAUCUCAUAUUCCUCAAGGCGCUCCAUCCUCUGAUUCGAUGUCUGACGAUCUGAGAAAUAAGAGGAGGAAUAAUCCAGCAGAAGAAUUUGGUGAAGAAGAACAAGAAAAGAAUACCUUUAUCCUGAUAGGCAUGGAAACACCGGUUCGCAUUGAGUGCAUCAUCGCUAAUCAGCUACUAUGUAUGGUCAGCGGACAUGCUUGCUUAUUCCUAUUUUUACUACCGAGAAUGGAAUUCAAGAAGAUAUACUUUUGGCGUUGUCUUAUUACCUCUCGUAUCUGA